AUAAAGUCGACUGCGAGGCUUCAGCAUCGGAGUCCUCUGAGCCGUCCAGGAUGGGGUCCAUGGCGCCCCGGACCCUCCUCCUGCUGCUCGCGGGGGCCCUGGCCCUGACCGAGACCCGGGCGGGCUCCCACUCCCUGAACUAUUUCCACACCGCCGUGUCCCGGCCCGAACUCGGGGAGCCCCGCUUCAUCGCCGUGGGCUACGUGGACGAGACGCAGUUCGUGCGCUUCGACAGCGACGCCAAGAACCCGAGCGCAGAACCGAAGACGGAAUGGAUUCGGCAGGUGGAGCCGGAGUACUGGGACGAGCAGACACAGAUCUCCAAGAACAAUGCACAGACUUUCCGCGUGGACCUUCAGACCCUGCUCCGCUACUACAACCAGAGCGAGGCCGGCUCUCACACCAUCCAGAGGAUGCACGGCUGCGAGGUCGGGGCGGAUGGGCGCCUCCUCCGCGGGUACCAGCAGUAUGCCUAUGAUGGCAAGGACUACCUCGCCCUGAAUGAGGACCUGAGCUCCUGGACCGCGGCCGACAUGGCGGCUCAGAACACCCAGCGCAAGUGGGAGGCAGUGGGUUAUGCUGAGUUCUACCGGGCCUACCUGGAGAGCGAGUGCGUGGAGUGGCUGCACAGACACCUGGAGAUGGGAAAGGACACUCUGCAGAGAGCAGACCCUCCCACAGCACAUGUGACCCACCACCCAGUCUCUGACCAGAAGGCCACCCUGAGGUGCUGGGCCCUGGGCUUCUACCCCAAGGACGUCACACUCACCUGGCACCGAGAUGGGGAGGACCUGACCCAGGACACAGAGCUGAUAGAGACCAGGCCUGCAGGGGAUGGAAGCUUCCAGAAGUGGGCAGCUGUGCUGGUGCCUUCUGGAGAGGAGCAGAGAUAUACAUGCCAUGUGGUGCAUGAGGGGCUGCCUGAGCCCCUCACCCUAAGAUGGGAGCCUCCUCAGCCCACUGUGCCCAUGUUGGGAGUCAUCGCUGGCCUGGUCCUCCUGGCAGCUGUGCUCAUUGGAGUUGUGGUCACUGUUGUGAUGAUGAUGAAGAGGAAGCGCUCAGGUGGGAAAGGAAGGAUCUACAUUAAGGCUGCAGGUAAGCACUGGGGUGUGUUUGGGGGGUGGUGGAGCCCCAAGGACCUUGCCCGUGGAGAAGCUGCUCUGCCCACCGGUCGCUCCUCCCUCAGCAACACCCCUGGGGUACUCUCCAAGUUCUGAUUGGUUCUCCCAGAUGGGACAGUUCCCAGGGUCUGACUGCUCUCUCAUAGCUUGAAAGUUUGAGACAACUGCCUUGUUACGACAGAUUUACUGAAGUCUCCAUCUUUGUUUUUUUCAAAAAGCCCUGCCUUCCCUUCCUGCAAAGGCAGCUGACUAUGUUCCUGUGGGCACAGUGUGAGGUGGGAGCCUGGCCCUCCCAGCCCAGCAUGGGGUCCUCUGUCCCUGUCUCAAGUUGGGUCAUUUACUGCAGCUUCAUCCUUCCCUGUGCAAUUCAUUUUUUUUUUUUCAAUUUCAAUCACGAGGUGUUAGUGAGAAAAUUAAAAGAGGAAAUUCCAAAAAUUGGACAGAGAAAAUAAACAGAAGCACCAAGAACCUUCCAGAU